GCAGCAGUGGGGAAUUUUGGACAAUGGGCGCAAGCCUGAUCCAGCAAUGCCGCGUGCAGGAAGAAGGCCUUCGGGUUGUAAACUGCUUUUGUCAGGGAAGAAAUCUUCUGGGCUAAUACCCCGGGAGGAUGACGGUACCUGAAGAAUAAGCACCGGCUAACUACGUGCCAGCAGCCGCGGUAAUACGUAGGGUGCGAGCGUUAAUCGGAAUUACUGGGCGUAAAGCGUGCGCAGGCGGUUAUGUAAGACAGAUGUGAAAUCCCCGGGCUCAACCUGGGAACUGCAUUUGUGACUGCAUGACUGGAGUGCGGCAGAGGGGGAUGGAAUUCCGCGUGUAGCAGUGAAAUGCGUAGAUAUGCGGAGGAACACCGAUGGCGAAGGCAAUCCCCUGGGCCUGCACUGACGCUCAUGCACGAAAGCGUGGGGAGCAAACAGGAUUAGAUACCCUGGUAGUCCACGCCCUAAACGAUGUCAACUGGUUGUUGGACGGCUUGCUGUUCAGUAACGAAGCUAACGC
rnacentral:rRNA from 1 species